rnacentral:rRNA from 1 species
CCCUUAGAUGUUCUGGGCCGCACGCGCGCUACACUGAUGCAUUCAACGAGCCUAUCCUUGACCGACAGGUCCGGGUAAUCUUUGAAUCUGCAUCGUGACGGGGAUAGAUUAUUGCAAUUAUUAAUCUUCAACGAGGAAUGCCUAGUAGGCGCAAGUCAUCAGCUUGCGUCGAUUACGUCCCUGCCCUUUGUACACACCGCCCGUCGCUCCUACCGAUUGGGUGUGCUGGUGAAAUGUUCGGAUCGGCCGUUUGUCGCGGUUUCCGCGUCAUGUGACUGAGGAGUUCAUUAAACCCUCCCACCUAGAGGAAGGAGAAGUCGUAACA